ACACUCCUGCGGGAGGCAGCAGUGGGGAAUAUUGGACAAUGGGCGCAAGCCUGAUCCAGCCAUGCCGCGUGAGUGAUGAAGGCCCUAGGGUUGUAAAGCUCUUUCACCGGUGAAGAUAAUGACGGUAACCGGAGAAGAAGCCCCGGCUAACUUCGUGCCAGCAGCCGCGGUAAUACGAAGGGGGCUAGCGUUGUUCGGAUUUACUGGGCGUAAAGCGCACGUAGGCGGACUAUUAAGUCAGGGGUGAAAUCCCGGGGCUCAACCCCGGAACUGCCUUUGAUACUGGUAGUCUUGAGUUCGAGAGAGGUGAGUGGAAUUCCGGGUGUAGAGGUGAAAUUCGUAGAUAUUCGGAGGAACACCAGUGGCGAAGGCGGCUCACUGGCUCGAGACUGACGCUGAGGUGCGAAAGCGUGGGGAGCAAACAGGAUUAGAAACCCCGGUAGUCCC
rnacentral:rRNA from 1 species